rnacentral:rRNA from 1 species
GACGAACGCUGGCGGCGUGCUUAACACAUGCAAGUCGAACGGAAAGGCCCUGCUUUUGUGGGGUGCUCGAGUGGCGAACGGGUGAGUAACACGUGAGUAACCUGCCCUUGACUUUGGGAUAACUUCAGGAAACUGGGGCUAAUACCGGGUAGGAGCUCCUGCUGCAUGGUGGGGGUUGGAAAGUUUCGGCGGUUGGGGAUGGACUCGCGGCUUAUCAGCUUGUUGGUGGGGUAGUGGCUUACCAAGGCUUUGACGGGUAGCCGGCCUGAGAGGGUGACCGGCCACAUUGGGACUGAGAUACGGCCCAGACUCCUACGGGAGGCAGCAGUGGGGAAUAUUGCACAAUGGGCGGAAGCCUGAUGCAGCAACGCCGCGUGCGGGAUGAUGGCCUUCGGGUUGUAAACCGCUUUCGCCUGUGACGAAGCGUGAGUGACGGUAAUGGGUAAAGAAGCACCGGCUAACUACGUG